rnacentral:rRNA from 1 species
UGCAGUCGAGCGGUAGAGAGGAGCUUGCUUCUCUUGAGAGCGGCGGACGGGUGAGUAAUGCCUAGGAAUCUGCCUAGUGGUGGGGGAUAACGUUCGGAAACGGACGCUAAUACCGCAUACGUCCUACGGGAGAAAGCGGGGGACCUUCGGGCCUCGCGCCAUUAGAUGAGCCUAGGUCGGAUUAGCUAGUUGGUGAGGUAAUGGCUCACCAAGGCGACGAUCCCGUAACUGGUCUGAGAGGAUGAUCAGUCACACUGGAACUGAGACACGGUCCAGACUCCUACGGGAGGCAGCAGUGGGGAAUAUUGGACAAUGGGCGAAAGCCUGAUCCAGCCAUGCCGCGUGUGUGAAGAAGGUCUUCGGAUUGUAAAGCACUUUAAGUUGGGAGGAAGGGUAGUAACUUAAUACGUUGCUACUUUGACGUUACCGACAGAAUAAGCACCGGCUAACUUCGUGCCAGCAGCCGCGGUAAUACGAAGGGUGCAAGCGUUAAUCGGAAUUACUGGGCGUAAAGCGCGCGUAGGUGGUUCAGUAAGUUGGAAGUGAAAUCCCCGGGCUCAACCUGGGAACUGCUUUCAAAACUGCUGAGCUAGAGUACGGUAGAGGGGUGGGGGGAAUUUCCUGUGUAGCGGUGAAAUGCGUAGAU